AAGUCAACUAGUACAAGUACAUUACUUAUAAAGAAAAAGUAACCAAAGAAAGAAAGGAUCUAAACAAGGAGUGUCCCUCCCAACUCUGAUAACUCUGCAGCUGCCGCUGCCACUACGCCACGCAUGUAGUACUGCAUCUAUAUCACAGACUUUCGUCCUAUACAUGGUCAAAAAGGAGACUGGUUGCUUGCCGUACUAUAAGAGCACCUUAGUCUCGGAAUCUUCCCUGUUGUUCACAUCCUGAGUCGGGGUNUCCCUGUUGUUCACAUCCUGAGUCGGGGUACCUAGUUACGCGGCCCACGAACUGCGCGUAACUCCGACAGAAUCCAGCAGAUGAGCCUCGUCACCCGACGUGCCU
rnacentral:lncRNA from 1 species